rnacentral:rRNA from 1 species
UACGAAGGUCCCGAGCGUUGUUCGGAAUCACUGGGCGUAAAGGGAGCGUAGGCUGCGCGGUAAGUCAGACGUGAAAUCCCCCGGCUUAACCAGGGAACUGCGUCUGAUACUGGAUGGCUUGAGUUUGGGAGAGGGAUGCGGAAUUCCAGGUGUAGCGGUGAAAUGCGUAGAUAUCUGGAGGAACACCGGUGGCGAAGGCGACAUCCUGGACCAACACUGACGCUGAGUGAGCGAAAGCCAGGGGAGCAAACGGG